rnacentral:rRNA from 1 species
CCUACGGGAGACAGCAGUAGGGAAUCUUCCACAAUGGGCGAAAGCCUGAUGGAGCAACGCCGCGUGGGUGAAGAAGGUCUUCGAAUCGUACAACCCUGUUGUUAGAGAAGCAAGUGCGUGAGAGUCACUGUUCACGUUUCGACGGUAUCUAACCAGAAAGCCACGGCUAACUACUUGCCAGCCGCCGCGGUAAUACGUAGGUGGCAAGCGUUAUCCGGAUUUAUUGGGCGUAAAGGGAACGCAGGCGGUCUUUUAAGUCUGAUGUGAAAGCCUUCGGCUUAACCGGAGUAGUGCAUUGGAAACUGGGAGACUUGAGUGCAGAAGAGGAGAGUGGAACUCCAUGUGUAGCGGUGAAAUGCGUAGAUAUAUGGAAGAACACCAGUGGCGAAAGCGGCUCUCUGGUCUGUAACUGACGCUGAGGUUCGAAAGCGUGGGUAGCAAACAGGAUUAGAUACCCGGGUAGUC